rnacentral:rRNA from 1 species
GACGAACGCUGGCGGCGUGCUUAACACAUGCAAGUCGUACGGUAAGGCCCUUUCGGGGGUACUCGAGUGGCGAACGGGUGAGUAACACGUGAGUAACCUGCCCACAACUUUGGGAUAACGCUAGGAAACUGGAGCCAAUGCUGGAAAUGUACUCCUUCUGCAUGGGGGGGGUUGGAAAGCUCCGGCGGGUGUUGCUGGACUCGCGGCCUAUCAGCUUGUUGGUUGGGUUGUGGCUUACCAAGGCGGCUAGGGGUAGCCAGCCUGAGAGGGUGACCGGCCACACUGGGACUGAGAGAAGGCCCAGAUUGCGACGGGAGGCAGCAGUGGGGAAUAUUGCCCAAGGGGCGCAAGCCUGAUGCAGAAGCGCCGCGGGCGGUAUGACGGCCUUCGUGUUGUAAACCGCUUUCAGCAGGGACGAAGCUUUUCGUGACGGUACCUGAAGAAGAAGCACCGGCUAACUACGUG